rnacentral:rRNA from 1 species
AUACAGAGGGUGCAAGCGUUAUUCGGAAUUACUGGGCGUAAAGCGCGCGUAGGCGGAUGAUUAAGUCAGUUGUGAAAGCCCUGGGCUCAACCUAGGAACUGCAUCUGAUACUGGUCGUAUAGAGUUUAAGAGAGGGAAGUGGAAUUCCAGGUGUAGCAGUGAAAUGCGUAGAUAUCUGGAGGAACAUCAGUGGCGAAGGCGACUUCCUGGCUUAAAACUGACGCUGAGGUGCGAAAGCGUGGGUAGCGAACGGAAUUAGAAACCCCAGUAGUCC